GUGGGGAAUAUUGGACAAUGGGCGCAAGCCUGAUCCAGCCAUGCCGCGUGAGUGAUGAAGGCCCUAGGGUUGUAAAGCUCUUUCACCGGUGAAGAUAAUGACGGUAACCGGAGAAGAAGCCCCGGCUAACUUCGUGCCAGCAGCCGCGGUAAUACGAAGGGGGCUAGCGUUGUUCGGAAUUACUGGGCGUAAAGCGCACGUAGGCGGACAUUUAAGUCAGGGGUGAAAUCCCGGGGCUCAACCCCGGAACUGCCUUUGAUACUGGGUGUCUGGAGUAUGGAAGAGGUAAGUGGAAUUCCGAGUGUAGAGGUGAAAUUCGUAGAUAUUCGGAGGAACACCAGUGGCGAAGGCGGCUUACUGGUCCAUUACUGACGCUGAGGUGCGAAAGCGUGGGGAGCAAACAGGAUUAGAAACCCGAGUAGUCC
rnacentral:rRNA from 1 species